GAAGGUUGCCAGAAAUUGAGGACGGACUCCCGCCCUGGUCGACUGAGCUCCCACAGGAGCGCCUCUGCUGCGUCUCGGGGCUGAGUGUGGACGCGCCGCGCGCGGCCCCGCCAGGGCUGGUAGUUUGCAGACCGUCCCUGCCGCGGCCCGCUCGGCGGCGGCCCUGCGGCUCCCGCGGCGGCGGCCCCGGGCGCGAUCCAGCCCAGGUAGCCGCGCCGCAGGCUCGGGGCGUCGCGACCUCGCGCCUCGGGCCGCGUGGGCACGGCGGCCGGCGGGUGCUCCCGGCUGCUGCUGCUGCCCAACAAGGAGAAUGGAAGUGAGGAAAGGCAACCAGCUGACACAGGAGCCAGAGUGAGACCAGCAGACUCUCACACUCAACCUACACCAUGAAUUUGUGUCUAUCUUCUACGCGUUAAGAGCCGAGGACAGGUGAAGUUGCCAGAGAGCAAUGGCUCUCUUCACUCCGUGGAAGUUGUCCUCUCAGAAGCUGGGCUUUUUCCUGGUGACUUUUGGCUUCAUUUGGGGUAUGAUGCUUCUGCACUUUACCAUCCAGCAGCGAACUCAGCCUGAAAGCAGCUCCAUGCUGCGCGAGCAGAUCCUGGACCUCAGCAAAAGGUACAUCAAGGCACUGGCAGAAGAAAACAGGAAUGU
rnacentral:sRNA from 1 species